AUUCGAAUAUGAUGAAAGCAAUACAUAAACGGGUGAUGAUUAUUCAUUUUUAUAUGAUCAGAGAUCUACUCGCUACGUUCUUUCUGAUUCAUUU